CGCCUCCUGCAAUAUAAAGUAUAGGAGGUCCAGCCUGCCCAGUGACUACGGGUUCAACGGCCGCGGUAUAUUGACCGUGCAAAGGUAGCGCAAUCACUUGUCUUUUAAAUAGAGACCUGUAUGAAUGGCUAGACGAGGGCUUAACUGUCUCCCCCUUCCAGUCAGUGAAAUUGAUCUAUCCGUGCAGAAGCGGGUAUAAUACUACAAGACGAGAAGACCCUUUGGAGCUUAAGGUACAAAAUUCAGCCAUGUUAAGCAACUCCAUAGAAAGCAAGAACUUUAUGGCCAUGAAACUUUACCUUCGGUUGGGGCGACCACGGAGGAAAAGCAAGCCUCCGAGUGGACUGGGCCAAACCCCUAAAGCUAAAAGAGACAUCUUUAAGCCGCAGAACAUCUGACCAACAAUGAUCCGACCAAGAGGUCGAUCAACGGACCAAGUUACCCUAGGGAUAACAGCGCAAUCCUCUCCCAGAGCCCAUAUCGACGAGGGGGUUUACGACCUCGAUGUUGGAUCAGGAC
rnacentral:rRNA from 1 species